AGUGGGAAAAGGCCUAAGCAAUUCAUUCCUCCUCUCUGUGCUGGGAGUUUUUUGAGAGUUGCUCAUGUGAUAGCUAAUAUUCAAAACGUUUGUGUCCCUUACUUAAUGUAUGCCCUUCUUCCUCUUCCUCUGUUCUCCUAUUUUGUUUCUUCUGUGUACUUCAUUUAUAAUUUUUUACAUUAUCAAUUAAAAAAACUGUACUCUGUAUGCCCUACCAAUGUAUCUCUUGAUGUCAUAUAAAAAAGAUACCAUACGUUAGUGUAUGGAUUGUUAGGAAUCUCUGGAUCAAGUCGCCAGUCACAUGCAUUUUAGUACUUAGUUCUCGUAAUUCCAAAAUGACUCCUGCAAAUUUGGACAGCGGAAAAAUUGUAGGCUAGCGUGCAUUGAAUACACAAAACUAAAACUAAAGUGUUUAAACAUCCAAUAAAUUCGAAGAAGUUUUUUUUUUAUAUUUUUAUAAUAUUGCACACUUCCCUACACUGUCACCUUACAUUCUUUUGUUUAAACAAUUCAAUUAAUCUUUACUCUAAUUAGAAUUUCUCAAGUAGAUUCCACAAUAUAAAUAUUGAAAUAUUCUAAUAUUAUAUAUGUUACUCGUGCAACAAUUCAUUUAAAUUGGGCCCUAUCAUGUAAGAGUAGAGGGGACAUAUAUGGUUGGCUUUCCUUACACCAGAUAGACUUGGGAUAAGGAAAAUUGCAACAGUUUUUGCAGAGACUAUCUUUAGAAACGCUGAAAGCCUAAUCUCCAUGGAUCUGGGCUUCCAGGACAGCUUUUACCCAUUGAACUCAGUUUUUGAAUGCCAAAAUCACGUUGCUAUGUUGUGCUUAGGAGGAAGACAAUUGUGGACUAUAUUGCUGGAGAAUUGAGUAAAAAACUCCAUUCAGUUUGUCUUUAUUGCAAAUGCAGACGUAGUCUGUUGCAGGCAGUAAGAAAAGGCAAUUUUCCAGAUUCGCAUGGAAGGGCAAUUAGCAUCCAUAACACAAUCUUUAUUGCAGCCUCAACUGUCUGUAAAGGUAGUGGUUCUUUGGUUUCAGACGAGUCUAAGAUGUUUUCGGAGGAAAGAAUCCUUGAAGCCAAAAGUUGUCAAAUGCAAAAGAUGUCUGACAGCUUCCGAGGAUGAGGAUGCCAAAACAAUUGGUUCUACCUAGAAAAGGUUUUUACGAACCAUCAUCUCUGAACAAAAGAAAGCAGACUGAGAUUAGUGAGUCCAAGGAGGGAACAAGCAAGAUGCACAGACAGGACAGUGAGCCAUCUCGAUCCUAUCUCGAUCUAAACAAGCCUGUAGAGGAGGGUGAUGAGGGUGUCAAUGACAAUGACCAAGAAAGUGAAUCCAUAACAGAAAACAAAGAAACCUGGGUUAAGUGACUUCUAUGACCAAAUUGGUGAGAAAGUAGCAUUCAACUUUGACGAGCUUGCUGAAAAGUAUUAAAAGGCAUUCGGUUCAGAGCUUCAGCUGGAAAUUGAUAAUGAGGUAAUGACAGGCAUACUUGCAGCUGCUUGGUUAUCAGACAAGAAAAAUGCAGUGGAGAAUUGGGUUGACCAUGUUUUUGGCAGAUGCUUCGUCGAAGCUCAACGGACGUACCAUCCUGUAUAUCAGAAUGUUGUGAAACUGGUGAACUUUGAAUCUAUUUUUUGAGGAAGAGCAAGCUCCUGGUGUAUGCCUUCCUGGAAGAGCAAGCUCCUGGUGUAUGCCUUCCAGCUAGAAUUAACCUGGACUAAAUUUUUGCUCACUUUCUAUUACUGUAAUCAGUUGUAAAAUGUAGGUGUCAGGAUAAUUUGGUAGGUGGUAGCCAGUGUUCAACUAAUUGAUCUCACAAUUUUUGUCUUCUUAAUCAUUGUGCUGUAAUUUCUAUGGCAAAUGCAUGUUUUUGUCUUCUUAAUCAUUGUGCUGUAAUUUCAAUGGCAAAUGCAUGUGUAAUUUUCUGUAGUGUACCUACUUAAAAGUCCAAUAAUAAUAGUGUUCUUGUCGAUUGACUCAGCCGCCGUUGACUUUAAAGGCAGAUGGUGGCUCCUCCUAUUUCCUGGUGGUUUCUGCUCUCUUCUUGGGUGGUUGAGAGUGGCUCCGUUGAAGCAGAGGGGACACUACAUGUUGAUUGCACUCCGACGAUCAAGUCAGUAUUGGACUAAGAAACAGUAAGUAUGUAAAGCAAUUUCAGUCUUAGAAACGACGUACCUUUCUAGGGUUCUUACCACCCUUUAUAUAGGUUGUAUCUAGGUCAACUCCUUGUCCCACGAUGAUCUUUUCUUAAGUGGAAUUAGGGUUACUGGUGAGGCAUUCUGUGACGCAUUGCACAAGCUUAGCGCAACCGCCGCACAGGACUUGUCUCUUCUGGAGUGCAUAAUCUUAACAGUAUGACCGCUAGGGUACCAACUCAUGCACCAACAUUGCGGGGUCAUCUGUUCUGUGAGUGCCCUAAGUAUUCACGUGCCAUGCAUGUUGUCUAUCCUUGGAAACCCUAACUCUUACGUGCCUUAGCGCCUCCAAGGAUCAUUUACUUGUGCUAGACCUGAAUGUACUAUACACAUCUCAUGCACGAAUCUUUCGUGAUUUAGGUCUUUCUGAUAUCUGGGUGUUAACUCAUUAUUAUUUCUGGGGCACACCUACGUGGCCCAUUAAUGCGAUCAGACCACCAAUGUCUGAUGUCAACGUUUGACGUCGAUGUCUGACAUCGAUGUUCGAGGUCUGGCCAGUACAAAUAGUUUGCAAACUGUUCUAAAAAAAAUUGGGUCCAAUCAAUUAUCUCUCAAUAAAUUUUUCUAUCUACUUUGUCACUUCAUGUCUAUAUAAUUUAAUAUUUAUUUGAUUCAUAUUAACUCAAUCUUCUUAUAUAUUGGUUAACGGGUGGAUGCUUUUUCCAUUUUAAUAGCACUAAUUAUUACUUGGGGGCCUUCAACAUCACCAACUACUUUGUUUAAGAAUCACAUAAAUUUGAAAUCGUAAACUACAACUUUCAUGUUUGACAAAUACAAAAGCAAGAUCCUUUAUGAAUUAAGAAAUACAUUGAAGCUUUUGUCCAUGGUACUUUGAUGGUUGGUUUCAUAAUGUCGUUGCACCUACUUUUCGUACCACUUGUAUCUUUGUAUUUUUUUAGGUAAAAUUAAAAGGAGUAAUUGUUUUUAUGAGGUUAUUUACAAGAAAAAUUAAGUUACCAAUUCUACAAAUUUUAACAAAAGAUUAGUACACUCAAUUCACCAUUAAUAUGAAUAUUCUUCUCAUGUUAAUCAAAAUAGAAAAGAUAAAUAAUUCUUCUCAAAUCAAUUAUAAUAAAAUCAAUUACAAUAUAAUAAUUAAGUUAUUCAUAUUUUUUUUUCUCUAAGAGAGGAAUGCUUUGUUUAUUGUCUUAUAAAAAUGUCCAUAAUCUUUUAAUAUUAAAAAACUAUAAAUAUGUUAAAUUUUAUAUUAAACCGUCUACCAAAUUGAAUAAUCUAGGAUGUUGAAUUUUCUGAGUCUAGCAAGUUGAACUAUUUAAUAUGUUGGAGUUUUUAGCAUGAUAAAUUAUCUAACGGAAUAGAUCCUUCGACUUGUUGGGUUUGGGUGUGUGUUUCUUUCUUUUUCUUAAUCCUUCCUUUAACUUUAUUUCAAAAGAGAACAGAGAUAAACAAAAGAGUAAACUGAAGACAAAAGAUGUGAGAAUGAAUAUCUCUUAUUUCUUGUUAUUCAAAUCAAAACAAAUGGUCUGAAUAUAUACAAGUAGUACACUCAUUCUAGGUUUAACUGAAGAGGAAAAUAAUCAAUAAUUAAAUAUAUUAAAUACUAGAAUCAUAACAAGACAAAAUAAAGGUUAUUCACCUCUAUAAAGAGAAACAACUGAUAAUUAGAAAAGACACCCAAUUAAUAUUAGGAUCCUUCUAUAACUCUGGUAUCCGUAUUCUUUAAUACCCCGCCACAAGCUGGGGAGCAAAUAUUGACGAGACCCAGCUUGGAACAAAUAUUCUUAAAAGAUUGAGGAUUUAAAGCUUUGGUAUAAAUAUCAGCCAGUUGCUCUGUGGUGGAAAUGGGAAGCAACUGGAUGAGACCCUUCUUUAAUUUUUCCCGGACCACGUGACAAUCUAUUUCUAUAUGUUUUGUACGCUCGUGAAACACUGAAUUUGCUGCAAUGUAUCUUGUUGAGUCAUUGUCACAGUAUAAAAGAGAUGGUUGCUCAAAAGGAAGUUUGAAAUCUUGAAGAAGAUAAGUUAGCCAUUGAAUUUCACAUGUAACAGUGGCCAUUGCCUUGUAUUCAACUUCACAAGAACUCUUUGAUACUGUUCCUUGCUUCUUUGAUUUCCAAGAUAUGAGAGAAUUCCCAAGAUACACACUAAAACCAGUCACUGAUUGUCUUGAAUCACUACAGGUGCCCCAAUCACUAUCACAAAAGGCUUUCAGAUGAACAGAGGCAGUGAAAGAGAAAAAUAGACUAAGACUUGGAGCCCCUUUGAUAUAUUUGAGAAUUCUAAUCGCUGCAUUAUAGUGAGCAAUUGUAGUCUUAACAAGAAAUUGAGAAAGUUGUUGCACAUAAAAUGUUAUGUCAGGUCGAGUAUUAAUGAGAUACAUAAGUCUUCCAAUCAAUCUUUUGUAGGCUUGAAUAUCUGUGAAAAGAACACUUCCAGUAGAAGAGAAUUUCUCAUGAUUAUCAAUAGGAGUGGGUGCAGGAUAAAAGACAUGCAUCUGUUAAUAAUUCCAAUGCAUAUUUCCUUUGAUUUACCAUUAUUCCUGUCUUACUUCUUGCUACUUCUAGACCGAAAAUAUCUUAAAUUCCCAAGAUCUUUAAUCUUGAAUGUCUGAUUCAAGGCUUGUUUGAUUCGAGCAAUCUCUUCUUUAUCAUUUCCUGUCAAUAUUAUAUCAUCCACAUAUACCAAUAAUGUUGUAAAAGAUCCUUAAGAAGAAUUUUUUGAACAAGGAAUGAUCAUUCAUAGAUUGAGUAUAUCCCAUAGAAAGCAAAAAUGAUGACAGUUUGGCAAACCAUUCUCUGCUAGCUUGCUUAAGACCAUAUAAAGCCUUUUUUAGUUUACAAACUUUUUCUGGUGGAAUAGAAGUCAAUCUAGGAGGAACAACCAUGUAUACAUCUUCUUUCAAAUCUCCAUGUAAAAAGGCAUUGUUUAUGUCUAAUUGUUUCAAUUCCCAAUUAUAAAUAGAAGUUAAAGAAAGAAGCAACCUUAUGGUGGUCAUCUUUGCUACUGGAGAGAAAGUAUCAAGGUAGUCAAUGCCUUCUGUUUGUGUAUAUCUCUUUGCCACUAACCUUGUUUUAUACCUUUCAAUUGUCCCAUCAGCCUUAUAUUUUAUUUUGAAUACCCAUUUGCAACCUAUGGCAGCUUUGUUCUUAGGCAGAAGAGAAGUCUCCCAAGUUUGAUUUGACUCUAAAGCAGAUAUCUCACAUUGUAUAGCUUCUCUCCAGCAGUCAUGUUUCACAGCUUCAAAAUAAGUGUUUGGCUCAACAUGUGAAGAAAGAGACAUAAUAAAAGAUUUGUAAGAAGGUGAUAAAUUGCUAUAAGACAAAAUAAAAUUCAAAGGAUAUUUAACUCUUGAAGAUGUACUGGAAACGUUAAGAUUACAAUGAUAAUCCUUUAAAUACUCAGGUGAUCUUUUUAUUCUUGUGCUCAUUCGGACAGAUGGAUCUGAUUCAGAACUUUGUUCUAUAUCAUGAUUUUCAUUGAGGUUUUGGUCUAUAUGGGAACAAUCUACGUCUGAAACCUCAAUUUGUGACUCACAAUUAUUAUCACUGCUAUUUUCAACAUUAUCACAAGGUGUAUUAUCACAAGGUGCAAGAAUGACUUGUGAUGGCUGACUUAAGACAAAUUGAUCUUCAACAAACAAAAUUUGAUCAUCAAUAUCGGGACUGUUAGUUUCAUUACUAGUAUCUUGAACCCUUUGGUAUGGAAAAACAUGUUCAUAAAAGACAACAUCCCUAGACACAAAAAUUUCUCUUGAUUGAAUAUUCAACAAAAUAUAUCCUUUUGUCCACCUUGGACAACCAAUAAAAACACAUUUUGAUGCUCUUGGAUCAAAUUUUCUUCUAUUUGUUGACAAAGUGCUAGCAUAACAUAAAGAACCAAACACCUUUAAUACAUUAAAAUUUGCAUCAGUUUUGAAAAGCAUUUCAUGAGGGGAAGAAUAGUUUAAAACAGGUGUGGGAAGCAUGUUUAUAAUAUGCGCAACAUGUAUCACAAAAUAUGACCAAUAAAUUUUGGGUAAAUGAGAUUGUAUCAUAAGAGCUCUUGCUACAUCUAAUAAAUGACCAUGUUUCCUUUAAUUAUACUAUUUUGUUGUGGAGUAUUGACACAUGAUGUUUGAUGUAUUAUUCCUUUACUGACAAAAAAAUUAGUCAUGACAAACUCAGUUUCAUUAUCACUUCUUAUUAUUUUUAUCGUUGUCUCAAACUGUGUUUGAACAAAAAUAACAAAAUGUUCCAAAACCUUAACAACUUCAGAUUUUUGUUUCAAAAGAAAAAUCCAUGUGUACCUCGAAUAGUCAUCAACUAUGGUCAAGAAAUAUUUAUGGCCAUGAAUUGAUGGUAUUGAGUAUGGUCCCCAAAUAUCUACAUGAAUCAAAUCAAAACAUUUUUUCGAUUUUGAUGUACUAAUAGGAAAAGAAAGUCUUUUUUGCUUUGCAAAAUGACAAACAUCACAAACAAAAGAUUUGUUAUAUUUAACAAAAGGAAAUUUAUUCUUGAUAACAUCAAUACAUUUAUUUGGAAUAUGACCUAAUCCAAAAAGCCAAAGGGUUUCUAGAUCACUAGCACUGACAUUAACAGUAUUGAUGAUGUGUGUAGAUUCAAGGGGUUUAAUUUGNNNNNNNNNNNNNNNNNNNNNNNNNNNNNNNNNNNNNNNNNNNNNNNNNNNNNNNNNNNNNNNNNNNNNNNNNNNNNNNNNNNNNNNNNNNNNNNNNNNNUUUCAAGGAGUUUUUGUCUUGAAUGUGACAACCAUUAGAAUCAAAGGUAAGAGCACAAGAUAGUCUAUCAACCAAUUUUGUUACUGAAAGAAGAUUAAAAGUGAAGCAAGGAAUAUACAAAACAUUGUUUAUGACAUGAUUUUGAUUGAGAAAAACACUUCCAGAAUAAUUGGCAAUGACUUGAUUUCCAUUUGGUAAUUUGACAUAAAUAGGAUCAAUUUGAUGAUACGAAGUGAAGUAAGUUAAGGAUGAACAAAUGUGAUCAGUAGCACCACUAUCAAUAAUCCAAGAACUAAAAGAAGAAAUAGAGUUAUUACCAGUUUGUGUUGUCAUGUUGGAAGAAAUAACAAAGACUUGACUAGAAACAUUCUCACUGGAUUUGACCUGUUGUAAAAGAGCUAACAAUGUUUGAUACUGCUAAGGAGUAAAACCAAUUUGUUGAGACUCCACUUCUGACUUUGAACCUUCAUGAUUCUGCUCAUUAUUGUUAAAAUUUGUAUUGUGAAAGGCUGCAUGACUUUGAUGAUGGUUCUUAUUUUUAAAUUUGAAAUAAGGUGGAAAACCACGCUUUUUAUAGCAUGUAUCAAUGGUAUGCCCUGUCUUUCCACAAUAACUACAAAUUUUGGAAGUAUAUCUUCUUCCAUAGCUUCCUCUUCCAUAUCCACCACCCAUGCCAUAGAUCGUAGCAUUGUUAUUAUAACCUCCUUUGCUAGUAGCAAUCAUUGGCUUGGACAAACUAACAUGGUAAGGUGAACAAAUAUCUUGUGAGGGAUCAACAACUUCACCCAUAGAUAAAUGUAGCAACCAAAGCUCUAAUCAGAGCUCUGAUACCAUGUUAAGAAGUGGACUUUAAGCCUAACUCAACCCCAUAAAACCGACUCAUAGGGUUGAGGUUUGCACCCACUUAUAUACAAUGAAAGGCUCUAAUCUCUAGUCGAUGUGAGAUCUCCAACAAACUUAUUUAUUUCAUCUUUGCAUCUAAUUAGAUAUGCUCUAAGAAUGUAGUCUCUUUGUACUUUCAGUAUUCAUCAUCUUUUCUUAUAUUUUUCUUCGUCAUUUUUCCUUUUGUGUGCAUCAUGUCUCAUUAUGAUAUCAAAGCGGGCUAAUAUUGCUUUGCUCCUCUAUGCUUUUAAUAUAUUUCUUCCUCUAUUUCUUAUAAUUUUGUUUUUCCUUUUUGCUCUUUUCUCCACGAACAUCAACGACAUGGAUGUGUCACAUAAUCCAUCAAGUUCAUUCUAUUUACACCCUAGAGAAAACCCUAGCAUGAUUCUUGUUACUCCAUAAUUAAAUGGACAAACUACUCUCUUAGAGUAAAAGAUUGAAAUGCACAUUGUUAUCCAAGAAUAAGGUAAAAAUCAUCAAAGGAAGAUAUUACUCAACCAACUUGCAAAGAUCUAAUUUUUUUUAUGCUUGGGAACAUUGUAAUAUGAUGAUAAUCUCUUUAAUUACACGAACUUUAUCUCCACAGACUAGACAAAACACGAUUUACAUUGAUAGUGCCCAAGAACUUUGGGAAGAAUUGAGAUAAAGAUUUUCAUCUAGAAGCAGAUCAAAUAAUUAGUGCACUAUGGAAGAAAAUGAUCUUCAACACAACCAAUACAAGAACAAAAAGAAUAAUGUUCAAGCUUCCUUUACUAAUGAGCAAAUACAACAACUCCUAAGAGUUCUCCAAACUUCUGAAAAUGAAAUUAAUCAGAUUAAUAUUGUUUGUGUUUCUUUCUCACCUCAAAAUGACAAAGGUAAAUUUUUAUUCUUGGAUUCUUGACAUAGGUGCCACAAAUCAUGUUACACAUAUGGAAAAAUGUCUUUGUUAACUUUCCUAGGAUCAAACUUAUAUUUGUGAAACUUCCAAAUAAUAACUAUGUUGUUGUCAAUAAUGCAAGGACAAUGUAAUUUAAAAAACAACUUGUUCUCUAUAAUGUUAUCUUCAUGCAAAAUUUACCUUGACUAUUAUCUUUGUUAAAAAAUUAUAAAUACUUUUGAAUUAUUAGAUCUUAUUUUCAUGAAUUACUUGCCAGAUACAAGAUAUGACUACUUUGAGAAUUAUUGGACAAGUUGAUCUUCUAGACAGUCUAUAUCAAAUCACUAGAUAGUUUAACAUGAACAAACAUAUUUAGGUAAAUAAUAGUGAAAACUACAAUACUAAGAACAUGGACAUAUGACACUGCAAAUUAGGUCAUCCUUCAAAUAAGGUUCUUAAACAUAUUUGUAAAUAUUUUUUCUAAUGAAAUUUACUAUGAUGAUAAAAGAGUUUAUGAUUCUUGCUACUUGCUCAACAACAUAGACUACCAUUUCCUUUGAGUAAAUCUUCAUCUUUUGGAUAUGUUUGAUCUUAUGCACAUUGACAUAUGAGGUCUUUUUAGCGUUGCAUGACAUAUGAGGUCUUUUUAGCGUUGCAUCAAUGCAUGCCAUAGAUAUUUCUUCACUGUUGUUGAUGAUUUUACAAGACACAUAUGUUGUGUUUCACAUUUUUUAUCUAAUUAAUUUUUCACCUUCAUCCGUCAUUGGUUAUAAAAGUCCAUAUGAAGUUCUUUAUCAACAACAUCAUGAUCCCCUUAGUUUAAAUUUUUUUUUUUUUGUAUUUGUGUUGCUUCUACUUUACAAAUUAACAUAAAUAAAUUAGAUCCUAGAGUACAAAGAUGUAUCUUUCUUGGAUAUAAAAAAUGGAACUAAAGGUUAUGUUGUCAUCGAUACGAACACUAGAGAAAUAAUAAUAAUAGUCUCUUUGUGCUUUCGUUGUUAAUCGUCUUUCUUAUCUUUUUCUUCAUCUUCUUCCUUUUGCGCCUACCAUGUAUGCAUUGUUGGAAAUCACACAUCAACUAAAGAUAAGGUCAAUUUAUAGAAUAUAAAUGGGACGAUCCUCACCUUACAAGCCGAUUUUGUGAGAAUGAGUUAGACUUAAACUUACUUCUUAAUAUGCACAUCCAAGGAAAGAGAAGGAGCCAAAAUAAUCGUGCAUUUGAAGGAAAACUCUUCUCUUCUAGUGAUGUCUUUGUAAAAUCAACUUAUGAUACUUUAUUUCUUUUUUAAUUAUGGAGGUAAGACAAGCCUGGUAUAACCCAUAUAUUUUUUAAAUUUAAAAGUUCAAAAUGAUUUUUUUUUUCUUCUUUAGUACGUAUAUUAAAAACUUAAUGGAACCUUUUUUUUAAAAUAAAAUAAAGUGAAACUUUUAAAAUUACGAAGAGAAAACUAUGUAUACUAAGUAUGCUAUGGAAAAAUAGAGUGUAAUUUAUUUUUUAAUUACUCAUACCUAUAUCUAUAAUUUUAUGCAAACAUAAUUAUUCAAAACUUUACACAACUAUAAACAAAUAUCGACACUGAUAAUCAUCAAUACAAAAUUGAUAAAUAUAUUACGAAAGUAGACUUUAAGCCUAACUCAACCCCAUAAAACCGACUCAUAGGGUUGAGGUUUGCACCCAUUUAUAUAUUAUGAAAUGUCCUUAUCUCUAGUCGAUGUGGGAUCUCCAACAAAAUAUUCUAUAAGCAUCCCCUCUCACUCUUUUUUUUUUCUAAAAAAUUUUUUUGUCAUCAUUUUGUGUUUUAACUUUUUUCAUAACAAAUAUUAUAUUUGUAAUUAUUUUAUGGUUUGUAGAAGAAAUAAAUGUUCUUAUUUUGUGAACAUUUCAUGAAGGAGAACUUUGAUUUGAGGUUUGGGAUUGAGCAAUUCAUUCUCGUGCUAUGUCUUGUGAGUUUAGUUUUUAAGCUUGUUAUCUUGGUAUGAGUUCUAAACAUUUCAUAUGUCUUACUCUCUGCGUUUCUCUACUCCUAUUUUGUUUCUUCUAUGCACUUUUUACAUGUGUUUAGAACUUAUGUUGUAUACAUAUGAGAUCGUCUCGGAUUCAAGCGAUCAAGAUGAUAUGGUUUAUAAGAUUGGGGUGACCUAGAAUAUAUUGUUGAAUACAUAUAGGAAAACUAAUGUGAUGAGUAAUUAAGCACGAUGUCAAUCCUUAAUAAAAAAUCAUUAAUAAUUCUUACGGUUAUAUUAAUUUGAGGUUAAGAACUCCUUUUGUACGGAUCCAAGUCCAAUCGUGCAAAGUCUAUUAUAAUUCUAUAAAUACAUUGACAUUGAACAAGUAAACCCAUUCAAUAGUAUUCAUUACUCAUAAAUACUCAACGAACUUACAAACCAAUAAUUCCAGUAAAGAAUUUUUUCUUUAUUUGAACAUUACUCUUUUUUUUUCUUAUUAUGACUUGAAUGAAAAAAUUUCGAAAUAGAAAUGAUUAAUAAUUUUUUUUGUGAAAUUCUGAAAGAGCGAACAAUCUUUUUUUUAUCGAAUCAUAUCAUUAUAUUGAUGAUUGCGAAAAACUGUUCAUACUAUGAACGUAGUAUAAUGGCGGUCGGGCAACUAUGUCUCCAUCAUCUAGUGGUUCAGGAUAUCUCUCUUUCAAGGAGACAACGGAGAUUCGACUUCUCCUAAGAUAGGGUGUUACAAAAGGAAUUUGAUCAAGAAUUUUCAAUCAAAACUAAAAAGUAGUCUUAAGUAAGAAUAUUUUUUAGACAUAUCUCCUCAUACUUGAGACGUUACAAGUUUUUGAAUGACAACACUUUAAAAUCUGCUUAACACUACAACUAGUGUUAACUACACAUGGAAGGAGAAGAUAUACCCUAUCCAUAUAAAAACAAAAGUUAUAACACGUAAAUGAGUCUAUCAUUUACAUAAAAUGGAAGAAGAAAUAUAGGAUAUAUUGCACCAAAAUAUAAACACGUACAUGGUAUAAAAUGGGACCUCAUGAAAGAAUACUAUUAACAUACUGCUAGUGAAAAAAAUUCAAAGACACUUUUUCCCCAUUAUCUUGUCAUAUUUUCCCAUUUUUCCUUCAUCAUCAAUGACAAAGACCAUUUAUUGGAUGUAGUUGUUGGACAUGGUAUUUUAUAUUGUCAAGUGUGAAUCUCAAUUGAUAAGAGGCAUUUUCAAUUUAAGUUUUAUGGAUUUGUUUUGUAUUUCAGUUUAUUAAUUCAUCCCUAAAGCUCCAUCAGAGACAUUUCAUCAACAUGUAAUGCACCGUACAUUUGAAAAAUAGAUGAAUGUUUGUGUAAUAUGUUGAAAAUAAUAAAGGAGAUUUUUAGAAUUCAGAUAGUAGAAUUGAUAUAUAUGGGAUAGAGGGCUUGGGCUUAAUAGAGUGGUAGUACUGUGCUUUAAAAAAAUUAAUUUUAAUAUAUAAAUCAUUAUCUAUAUUUAUAUUUAUAUAUAAAGAGGGUUUCUCUUCGUAAGAGUCUUUUGGUGUACAUAGUUCUACCCUUAAUAUUUCAUUUUAUUAUUAGAAAGUAUUUUUUCAUUUUAUAUAUGAAUUAUUUAAAAAAUAAAAUUAUUUUUUAAUUUAAAUAUUUUUUUUAAAAUUAAUGUUAAGGGCAGUUUUUAUAUGCAAAUUAACUCUCUUAAUUCUUUAUUUUAAUACAACAACAGAAAAGGAAAGAAAAAAUAAUCUCACCCUCAUUCGUUUCUCACACCAAAUCUCACUAUCAAAUAAAAUAAUCUACAUUUUCAAUAACUAUCUCCACUCCAUUUCAAGCAAAACAACUCUAUUUUUUUGGUAAAGUCAUAAUUCUUUUGUAUUUACCAUCAAGUGAAUCCUAGUCUUACGUGAACAUCAUGAUACUCUCCAAUCCCAAAACCACCAAUAAAAGAAGAAAAAAAAUUUGAAGAAAAAAAGAAAACCAGACUAGAGAAGAAAAAAGAGAUUGAUUAAUUAAUUCAUCAUUUUUCUUUUACAUGUUAUUUUUUUCCUUUUCAAUUUCAACUCAUCUAAAAUUUAUAUAUAUAUAAAAAAAAAAAUUCUUAUAAUCACAAAAAUUGAGUAGAAGAAGAAAACACAGAUAAAAUAAUUAUGUAAAAUUCUCACACCAUUUGCUGGUUUGGUUUAAUUUUUUAUAAAAUAAUUAUGUAAAAUAAAUAUAAAAAUAAAUACUAUUUAGUUUUAAUUUAAUAUAAAAUCUGAAUAAAAAUAAAGAAAUAUUUCACUGUUUAGUCUGGGUCAAUUUUUAUGAUUUUUAUUACUGCAUAACACUUUUAAAACAUUUAUUUAUAAAAAAAAUUGUUAAAUAUUUCUUAAUGAAAAUCCGCCCAUUAAAAAUAUAUGUUAUGAAUGUUUCAUAUUAUUGUUAUAUUUAUAAUUUUAAUUUGUCUUAUAUUUAUAAUUAAAUUAUAUAGUUUAAAAACAGAACUUUUAUUAUUAGAAUUGUAAGCAAACUAAAAGUUUGAAAUGAUUUUAGUUAUUAAUUAAUUUUAAGUAUAUAACAUUAUAUUUAAAUUCAAUAAACGAUUUAAUAUGAAUUUUAUUUUCAAUCUGAAAUGAAACCAAAUUUUUAAUAUGAUUCUUACUAAUAAGACAAUAAAAACAGUACCUUAUAAGUAUGGGAGGAACUUGAGAGAGGAGGAACAGAGUCAUGUGAGUGGCAAUAAAAUCCACCGCAGAUUCUGUUGGGUGUCACAUUUUUUGUUCAUGUUGGUUGGUUAGUGAUGGAGACACAAUAGGAGGGAGAUCAACGGUGGCCAUUUGGACACGUGUCAGUGUGAGAUUCACGAUCAGGAUCAGAUACCAUUUUUGCCCACUUCAUCAUGGUAUGAUAGUUACUCUUUUUUAUGCUACUUUUAUACUUUCAUUUCCGAAUCUCCAUCAACUUCAACAAAUACCGUUUUAAAUGUUACAUAUUCAAAUAAAAUAAAAAUCAUAUUCUAAUUAUAAAUUGUAAAUUUAAUUAAUCAUAAAUGUAUGAUCAAUAUCCUUACCUAUAUACAGGUUUCAUUAUAACUUGUAUAUUUUAUUAUUUUAUUUUAAAUAUUUCAGUCAUUUCCUAUUUUUAAGUUUUUAUUAAAUAAUUAAUUUUUAUAAUUAAUUGAAAACUGCUUCUCUAUUUUUAUUAUUAAAUUUUAAAAUUAAUAUACUAUCAUUUUGUAUAAAACAUUUAUCAAUUUUAAAUUUUAAAUAUGGAGUAUCAAACAUAGAACGAAAAAAUUAAAGGUCAAACAAUUCUUACAACGUGAAACAAGUUUUUUUUAUAUCUUCAUCUCUCUUAAAAUUAUAAUUUUUAUUUUUUCUUAACAUUUGGUUUAGUUUAGUUGUUAUCUCUUUUAUCAUUUGAUUUAGUUGUUAUACUUUCUUAUUAUUUAUUUUUUUUCUUUAAAAAAAAUAUGAAUUUAAAUAUUAAACAUAAAUAUAUAUAAAUAAUAAAAAUAAAAAAUGCAGAUACAUAAGAUAUGUUAAUUAUAAUAAUAAUUAUUUUAAAAAAAAUUAAUAAUGUGUAUACAAAUAAUUAACACGCCCAAAUUAAAGGUGGUAGAUAGUUAAACAUAAUUAAGCAAAUUUACAACUCUGUUAGUUAAAAACUGAAUUAAGAUUUACUGCUAAAUUAUUUUAUAUAACAUUUCUCACGUAAAUAUUAUUAGUUUAAUUGUGUGAAAUAAUUUAGUACUCGCGAUUAAAUUUAAUAUAUGUUUAUUACUGAUUUAAUUUGAGAUAUAUGUGUAAUAUAUGUAGGUUGGUUUUAUAUUUAAGUGGAACAUUAUAUUUUUUAUUUAAAUUGAGGUGGAGUAUGUGAAAAAUUAGUAAAUUAAAUUGAUAUGAUGUUGUUAACUAGAUUGUUGAAAAACUUAGCCGAAUUUAUAUAUUAUGGAGUAAAUUGUGAAAUUUGAGUAAGUUUUUACUUUUUAAGUGUGUUUGAAAGGGGAGCAUAUGAAAAUUUUAUAUUAAGUUAGGUUAGAUAUGUAAAAAUUGAUUUAAUAAUAGCUUAAAUUAAAAAAUUAAUUUUAAUCACUACAAGAAAAUAAUUAAAUAGAAAUUAAUUUUAGAAAAAAAAAAUAGUUGCUAUAUUGACUAAAUUAAAAACCAUUUUAGAGACUAAAAUUUUUUUGGUUUCUAAAUUAGUUUCUAUUAUUGUUAAAUAAUUUUUAAAUUGGUAUAUAAUUAGCUACAAAGAUUUUAACAACUCAUUAUUUAGAUUUUAAAUUUAGUAGCAAAACCUUGGUAGCUAAUUAGAUAUAAAUUUAGAACUAUCUAAAAUAAUAGAAACUAAUUUAAAAAUCAAAAACUUUUUUAGUUUUUAAAAUAUCCCUAAUUUAGUUAAUAUAAAAAUUAAUUAUUUUUUGUCUCAAUAAAAAUGAAUUAAAUAAUUAAAUUAUGAUUAAUUAGUCAUCCAUGUGCAUUUAUACUAUAGUAAUCAACUGAUAUUUUGGGACCAGAAUAAUUUUGAAAAAAAUUAUUUAUUGAAAUAUGAUUGAUUACUUGGUCAUAAAAUAUAAGUUGUUUUAUUGCACUCAUAUAACCAUCUGAUUGAAUUAUUUAACCUAAAUGUGAAAAUUAUAUUAUUUUUUAUAUUUUUUUCUUUACUACAAAUAUAGGAAAGGCAUAUAAUAAAUAGUGUAAAAAAAAUUUGUCUUAGCGAAGUAUACAUAAAAAUAUCGAUAAUACAGAUAGUUAAUGGUAUUUCAUAACUAAUUGCUUGAGCAGCUACUCAUAGACCAUCCAAAAAAAUUAUUUAUUAUAUUUUGACAUAAAAAGUCCAAUGGGGACAAUACUUAAAAUAACACUCCAUAAAAAAAACACAAAUAUUCAAAUAAGAUAAAACAAAGUUAUAAAAAAAAGAAUUACUGAAUAACUUAAUGUAAUGGAUAUAACCAAUAUAAAUGGUCUAAAACUAAAUAAACGAAUAUUUUGUCCAGAUAGAAUAAGAUUUUCUUUGAACUUUUACUAAUUGUUUUACAGAAAGAGAAAGAAAGAAAAUCUAGAGCGAGAGAGAAAACCAUGAAGACCACAUAGCGGUGUUGGUGCUUAGAUGCAUAGGUGAAGGUUAUGAUCUCAUGAUUAUCGCGAACGCUUUCGACAAUGAAGAUCACUUCGACUACUUCCAACACCACAUCGUCAAGGAGUUCAUCAUCUUUGUCGAUGGUAUCGUCGCCAAACAACCCCUCAAGGCCAAUGUUAAUUUGUACAACACGAAGGUUCUUUUCCCUUAAAUUUCGGUUCUUAGGGUUUCUUUCUUUUACCCUCUUUGCUCCCUUUGAUAAUAAUAGAAAUCGUAAUUUUUUUGUAUAAAAAAUAAACGUGUUCUUUGAUCUGUGGUGAUUUAUUUUAUUUCUUGGAGGAUUCGAUUUUAUUUUUUGCCGAAUUGUGAAUGAUUGAAAACAUGUUUUUUUUCUUCAGAGUAUAAAGUGUACACAUACAACAGAAAUGGUCCUUGUGUGUUGGGAUUUAUGAAUGAGACAUGAUAAUUAUGCUAAGGAUCUUAUAAUUGUGUGUGUUCUAUUUAUUUGAUUUGUGGAGAUUCUCCACUCUUGUGAUGAUUCAUGGGGAACUAUAGAGGAAGACUCUAACCAAGAUAGAGAAGGAAGAAUUGCUCUUCCUUUUUCUCCCUACAAAGAUUGCUAACAAAACCAAUUAUCGUGUUUUUGAUGUUGAUGAAAGUGGUAAAGUGGUGGUAGCACCUCUCUUCACUGAACAGAGCAAGUGCAAUACAAAUUUAUUUAUAAAAAUAAUUUUAGCAUAUACAUAAAUGUAUGUUUAUUUUUCAAUUAUACUUUCACAAAUACAUGAGUAAGUAAUCGAUAGCUAUUCUUAUAAAAUACGGUUGGAGGAGAAAUGUUGAAAAAACACACCAUCUCAUAAAAAGGUUGAUAAAACAAUUAAUAGAAAUUUAUAAAAUAAUAAAUUAGCUUAAUUUUCAUAAUUAAAUAUUUCUUAACUUAUGUAUAAAAAAUUCAAGCAACCAAACAAUAAGAUCAAAGGAAGCAUGGUAGAUUAAAGGAAAAAAAGUAAUAAAUAAUAUAAUAGGAUAAAAAGAGAAAAAAUUUAGCAAAUAAAUUUAUAAAAUAAAGGAAUAUUUUAUGUUUCUAAAUAAGAUUUUUUACUUUUUAGAAUUUAAAAUUAUUAAAAUGAGCGAUUUUUUUAGUUUUUUUUAUUUUCUUUUAAAUCUCUGUUUAUUCAAAAUUUAUAAACAUUGAUUAAUUAUUGGAUUCGAAAAAGGAGAAAUAAAAGAAACAUGUAAAAAAAUAAAAAUCGAAUCCUCUAGGAAAUAAAAUAAAUAACCUUAGAUCAAAAAACACGUUUAUAUUCUAUACAAAAAAAAAUUACGAUUUUUAUUAUUAUCAAAGAGAGCAAAGAGGGUAAAAGAAAGAAACCCUAAGAAAGGAAAUUUAAGGGAAAAGAACUUUCGUGUUGUACAAAUUAACGUUGGCCUUGAGGGUGCGUUUGGAGACGAUACCAUCGACAAAGAUGAUGAACUCCUUAACGAUGUGGUGUUGGAAGUAGCCGAAAUGAUCUUAAUUGUCAGUUCGUGAGAAUCAUGGGAUCAUAACCUUCACUGCAUCUAAGCACCAACAUUGCUGUGUGAUCUUCAUUGUUUUCUCUCUCUCUAUAUAAAAAAAAUCAGUAAAAUUUCAAAAAGAAUGAAAGAGAAUAACUCAAAAACAAAAAAAUACACAAAAUAUUCAUAUGUGUACUCGCAUAAUAUUGACACGAAAACACACUUAAGGAGAAUGAAGAAGAGAGAAAAAAAAAAGUGCACGAAGAUACGAAAGAAGAAAUUUUGCAAAGAAAAGAACAAAUUUGCAAAGAAAAGAGAGGAGAAAUAACAAACAAAUAAAUAUAAUGAUAAAUAAUAUAUAAUCAUAAAAUAUGUAACAAAGAAGUUGAGUAAAGUGAAGAAGAGAAUGUGCAUACCUAAGAAUAUUAAAAAAAGUUCUUUUUGUUGAAAACAUGAAACUUUCUUCUUCUUCUUCUUCUUUCCUGCAUCAUUACACACAGAUACACUUUUGGAGAAAAUGAUGCACUUCUUAAAUUUAACGUGAACUGAGAAAGUUACAUGUUUAAUGAUGUCGCGAAAAGAUAAUUUUGGAUGACAUAAGUGAUUUUUCUGAACCAUUGAAGAAGAAAUAGAGAAAAAAGGAAUUUGAAGGAAAAUGUUUGGUUGAAUAACUCACUUCUCCCUAAAUAUAAUUUUGAAUUAUGUUGAUAAAAUAUUAGUUUUUAAAAAUAAAAAAGAAAAACAUUUUGAAUUAUGUUUACAAUUACUCCAUAAUUCAUAAUUAAAAAUUUAAUAUUUAAUAUUCAAAAUUAAAAAUUAAAAAUUUAAUAUUCAAAAUUUAAAAUUUAGUUUUAAAAAUAAAUAUGUCACAAAAUAACAAAUAUCUUCUCUCAUAUAUUUUUAAAAUAAUAAAAUAUAAUAUAAAUAUAAAAAUAAAAUAAAAUGACAGUUAAAAAAAAACUUAGUGUAAAUAUAAAUAAGAUUUAUUUAUUUAUAGUACUAUUAUUAAUUAACAUUUAAAGUGAUAAUUAUUAUCAUUAUAUCACGUUAUUGUUAUUAAAUUAUAUAUUGUUGUGAUAUUUAUAUAUAUAUAUAUAUUAGUAUGUGUUGGUAGCACUCUUAGUAUAGUAUAGAGAGAAACAAAUACUUAAAAACAUAUUCUUUUAAGUACAUUCUAAUGAUUGAACUAAAAAAUGUGGAAAAUAAAAAACAUAGACGAUAUACCUCAGUUAAUAAUUUUAUCAUAAUUUUUAAUAAAUUUGAAGUAAUAAAAAAUAGAUUUAAGAAAGCGUGAAAUAUAUGGUGUCUAAGCAGCCAAUAAUGCAAUAUGUUAGUCUUACUAAGGGUAUUUCCGUCAUUAAACUGCACCACCAACCCAUCUUCCCCAUAAAUGGCAACUUAGUGCCUUCAAUUCACCCACCCUCGUUCAUAUUCUCUCAUUCUCUGCUCCUCUAUCAUUCAGGGUACUUUUCUUUUCCUCUCUUCUAAACUUCUCAAUUUGGGAUCUUGCCUUAAGCCUCUUUUUCCUUUGUUCUUUCCUCUACUGGCUUCAUCUCUGUUUCCCCAGAGGGGUUUUUACUCACUAUUUUUACACUGUUAUGCUUCUUUAAUUGCUUCGGAAACGCGUUGCCCUUUCAGAUCUACUCCAUAUCCUACACAAAUGGCCCUUCUCUAAAGAUAGAAUCUGAAAAAAAAUAUCACUUUUGGGGGAUUUUGGUUUAUAAUUAAACUUUCACAUUGUUUUUGCUUAGAUAUGGUUUGCUGAAUACUGGGUUUCUGUUAAUUUUGAAGUUGUACAUGCUUCUACGCAUUGUGUUUUUCUUUAUUACAUGUUUAAUCUAAAACAUUCCUAGUUAAUUCUGUCGGCAACCUAUCUGCUACUAAAUAUAGACACUGUAUUAAAGAGUUGGUUUAUCAUGUACUUCUGCUAGAUCCACUCCCCGCUGGUUAAUUGCUUGUUUGAAUGAUUACAAACAGCACUUUUCUCUUAAAAGCUUUUCCCUUGCUCAAUAUUAUGCUAGUGUUUUGCUCCCUUUUGUGAAUUUGCAUUUAGGUUAUAAUUGUAGGGUUGUUGUGGUGCAGGUUUAAAAGUUUUGAGAUGGCAGAGACAUUUCUGUUCACCUCGGAGUCCGUGAACGAGGGACACCCAGACAAGCUCUGCGACCAAAUAUCGGAUGCUGUUCUUGACGCCUGCCUUGAGCAAGAUCCGGAGAGCAAGGUUGCGUGUGAGACAUGCACCAAAACCAACUUGGUCAUGGUCUUCGGAGAAAUCACCACCAAGGCCGACGUUGACUACGAGAAGAUCGUGCGUGACACCUGCAGGAACAUCGGCUUUAUCUCAAACGAUGUGGGGCUUGAUGCCGACAACUGCAAGGUCCUUGUGAACAUUGAGCAGCAGAGCCCUGAUAUUGCCCAGGGUGUCCAUGGCCACCUCACCAAAAGACCUGAAGAAAUCGGUGCUGGCGACCAGGGUCACAUGUUCGGCUAUGNNNNNNNNNNNNNNNNNNNNNNNNNNNNNNNNNNNNNNNNNNNNNNNNNNNNNNNNNNNNNNNNNNNNNNNNNNNNNNNNNNNNNNNNNNNNNNNNNNNNNNNNNNNNNNNNNNNNNNNNNNNNNNNNNNNNNNNNNNNNNNNNNNNNNNNNNNNNNNNNNNNNNNNNNNNNNNNNNNNNNNNNNNNNNNNNNNNNNNNNNNNNNNNNNNNNNNNNNNNNNNNNNNNNNNNNNNNNNNNNNNNNNNNNNNNNNNNNNNNNNNNNNNNNNNNNNNNNNNNNNNNNNNNNNNNNNNNNNNNNNNNNNNNNNNNNNNNNNNNNNNNNNNNNNNNNNNNNNNNNNNNNNNNNNNNNNNNNNNNNNNNNNNNNNNNNNNNNNNNNNNNNNNNNNNNNNNNNNNNNNNNNNNNNNNNNNNNNNNNNNNNNNNNNNNNNNNNNNNNNNNNNNNNNNNNNNNNNNNGCUUACAUUGUGAGGCAGGCUGCUAAGAGCAUUGUGGCGAGUGAACUGGCGAGGAGAUGCAUUGUGCAAGUGUCUUAUGCUAUUGGUGUGCCUGAGCCUUUGUCGGUUUUCGUUGAUACCUAUGGGACUGGAAAGAUCCCUGACAAGGAGAUCCUGAAGAUUGUGAAGGAAAACUUUGACUUCAGGCCUGGUAUGAUUUCCAUCAACCUUGAUCUGAAGAGGGGUGGGAAUAGCAGGUUCUUGAAGACUGCUGCAUAUGGACACUUCGGCAGAGAGGACCCUGACUUCACAUGGGAAGUGGUCAAGCCCCUCAAGUGGGAAAAGGCCUAAGCAAUUCAUUCCACUGCUCUAUGCUGGUUGUUUUUGAGCGUUGCCCUUGUAGUGUCUAGUAUUCAUAAACUAUUCAUGUCUACUGUUCUGUGUUUCUCUAUGUCUUCAUUUUUAAUUUUUUUUACAUUAUCAGUUAAGGAGCGUAAUCUCCGUUAGUGUGCCCAACCACUGUAUCUCUUGAUAUCCUUACAGUAAAAGAGAGUAUUCAAGUGCAUGAUUUAUGUAUUGCAAUGCUUCUCUCAGUGAAAUCAAAUUCUUGGCUUUCAUAAUUCUAAAAAGUUCGAGCUGCAAAUUUGUUUAGAAGAUAAAUGUUUGGCUAAAACUACUGUUGGUGUCGAGAAGUAAGUUUGAAGCAUGUGUAUAUUUCCCAGAAAUAUGAUAAUAUGAAUCCUCAAGUAUAUCACUUACAGUGACAUGGUUCCUUUGGUUGCUAUUAUUAACCCUGCAGAGACCAUGUUGCAGACUAGGACAGGUUGAUCAAUUAAUGUAUCAGAUUUUCAGUGAAUGGUAAUAGAUGAUUUUUUU
rnacentral:lncRNA from 1 species